AACAACAUUCAGUAAAUAACAGAUUUAAGCGUUGAGUAACAUAACAUGUAAAGAUUUAUUCAGAGGUUAUCUUGUGUAAAAUUCAUUUUCGUAGGUUUUUGACGUAAAAUACAUGUGUUUACUUCGUUGCCAGUUUAUGGGAAAGUCAACAAAAUAUGUCACAGAAAAAGAUGACAUAAUACCAAUUGUGACGCAAAUCAGGACAAGGCAUUUUUUCAAACGUCAAACACCGAUUCUUUGUUAUCUUAUUUUCAUGCAUAUACACCUGUCAAAUCUAUGCCACGGAAUAGAAAAUGAAAAAAUCA